rnacentral:rRNA from 1 species
UACGUAGGGUGCAAGCGUUAAUCGGAAUUACUGGGCGUAAAGAGCUCGUAGGCGGUCUGUCGCGUCGGCUGUGAAAACUCGGGGCUCAACCCCGAGCCUGCAGUCGAUACGGGCAGACUAGAGUGCUGUAGGGGAGACUGGAAUUCCUGGUGUAGCGGUGAAAUGCGCAGAUAUCAGGAGGAACACCGGUGGCGAAGGCGGGUCUCUGGGCAGUAACUGACGCUGAGGAGCGAAAGCGUGGGGAGCAAACAGG